ACUGUCCCUAAAGGCUUUGCAGGAAUGGCUUCUGUGUCACGUGUGCAUCAGGAGGUGGCAGAGAGGAGGGAGGCUAUGUCUAAGCUUGGUGUUCUGACCUGUGGACAUCUGAAUGAUCAGUAGCCUAACAGU
ensembl:snoRNA LOC120096802 small nucleolar RNA SNORA17